rnacentral:rRNA from 1 species
AUUGAACGCUGGCGGCAUGCCUAACACAUGCAAGUCGAACGGUAACAGGCCCUUCGGGUGCUGACGAGUGGCGGAUGGGUGAGUAAUACUUAGGAAUCUACCCUGUAGUGGGGGACAACCCGGGGAAACUCGGGCUAAUACCGCAUACACUCUACGGAGGAAAGCGGGGGACCGCAAGGCCUCGCGCUAUUGGAUGAGCCUAAGCCCGAUUAGCUAGUUGGUGGGGUAAUGGCCACCAAGGCGACGAUCGGUAGCUGGUCUGAGAGGACGACCAGCCACACUGGGACUGAGACACGGCCCAGACUCCUACGGGAGGCAGCAGGUGGGGAAUAUUGGACAAUGGGCGCAAGCCUGAUCCAGCGAUGCCGCGUGUGUGAGGAAGGCCUGCGGGUUGUAAAGCACUUUCAGUAGGGAAGAAAGCCGAGUGCUAAUAUCACUCGGUCUUGACGUUACUUACAGAAGAAGCACCGGCCAACUACGU